UACGGGGGGGGCAAGCGUUGUUCGGAAUUACUGGGCGUAAAGGGCUCGUAGGCGGCCAACUAAGUCAGACGUGAAAUCCCUCGGCUUAACCGGGGAACUGCAUCUGAUACUGGAAGGCUUGAGUUCGGGAGAGGGAUGCGGAAUUCCAGGUGUAGCGGUGAAAUGCGUAGAUAUCUGGAGGAACACCGGUGGCGAAGGCGGCAUCCUGGACCGACACUGACGCUGAGGAGCGAAAGCCAGGGGAGCAAACGGG
rnacentral:rRNA from 1 species